CCUACGGGAGACAGCAGUGAGGAAUAUUGGUCAAUGGGCGUAAGCCUGAACCAGCCAAGUCGCGUGAAGGAUGAAGGUUCUAUGGGUUGUAAACUGCUUUUAUACGGGAAUAACGCGUGGUACGUGUUCGGCUUUGUAUGUAACUUAUGAAUAAGGAUCGGCUAAUUCCGUGCCAGCAGCCGCGGUAAUACGGAGGGACCGGGCGUUAUCCGGAUUUAUUGGGUUUAAGGGGUGCGUAGGCGGCAUUUUACGCGUGCGGUGAAAUUCUGUGGCUCAACCAUAGACUUGCCGUGCAAACUGGGAUGCUUGAGUCUGUGUGAGGCAGGCGGAAUGCGUGGUGUAGCGGUGAAAUGCUUAGAUAUGACGAAGAACCACGAUUGCGAAGGCAGCCUGCUACGCCAUGACUGACGCUGAUGCUCGAAAGCGUGGGGAUCAAACAGGAUUAGAUACCCUGGUAGUC
rnacentral:rRNA from 1 species